GAUGAAGAACGUAGCGAAAUGCGAUACUUGGUGUGAAUUGCAGAAUCCCGUGAACCAUCGAGUCUUUGAACGCAAGUUGUGCCUCAAGCCAUUAGGUUGAGGGCACGUCUGCCUGGGCGUCACAUAUCGUUGCCUGAUGCCAGUUUCCUCGUGAUGGGUGACUGUGCAGGGCGAAUGAUGGCUUCCCGUGAGCAUUGUUGCCUCAUGGUUGGUUGAAAAUUGAGUCCUUGGUAGGGAGCGCCGUGAUAGAUGGUGGUUGAGUGACGAACGAGACCCAAUCAUGUGAGACCCCUACCGAAUUUGGCCUUCAUGACCCACGUGCGUCUUUGGAACGCUCAUGACGAGACCUCAGGUCAGGCGGGGCUACCCGCUGAAUUUAAGCAUAUCAAUAAGCGGAGGA
rnacentral:misc_RNA from 1 species